AUAGGAAGCAUAGUGGCAUCUGCUUCUGGAGACCCCUCAGGAAGCUUCCAAUAAUGGCAGAAGGCAAAGGGGAAACAGGUGAGGAAAACAGAAGCUCACAUAUGUGAAGUACCUUAUGAAAGGUCACUGGCUCAUAAGAGGAACAGGAUGCAGACUGCAGACUUCUGACUCUCAGCUAGCGUCCCUGCUCAUUCCCAAGGAAAUGGAAAGACACAAUGCUACUGUUAUUUGAAUGUUUAGGAGAAGGGUGGGUGGUGGUAAAAGGAAAUGUCUCACAAGCCCCACUGGCACUUGAUUUGUUGAAACUGUAAUAAUCACACUAUUAAUGGGUCUCUUUGGAAUAAUGCUUUUAGGAGGGCUUUUAUUGGCAUUAUUUGUUUGACAAAAUAACAUUGUGCACUUGAUGUCAUUAAACCCAUUUUACAGAUUGAGAAACCGGAAAAUACUGAUUUCUCCGUCGUUUACUAAACUGGUAAAUGGAAGAACCAAAAGUUUACUCCCCAAAACUGUGCUUUAAAUAAGUGACCACUGCCCUUGUACCUACAUUUAUUUAUUAUCUAUUAACCCGCUUGCUGGAUCUUCCUUAUGAAGAAGUUCGGUAGAUCAUGUUUGCUUUUUCAUUUAUGCAUAAAUAUUUAAGAGGCCACACCCAUUAAGAUGACUACUCUGAAAAAAAAAA
rnacentral:lncRNA from 1 species